rnacentral:rRNA from 1 species
GAUGAACGCUGGCGGCGUGCUUAACACAUGCAAGUCGAACGGAAAGUCCCAAGCUUGCUUGGGUACUCUAGUUGCGAACUGGUGAGUAACACGUGGGUUAUCUGCCCUGCACUUCGGGAUAAGCCUGGGAAACUGGGUGUAAUAGCGGCUAGGACCACAUUCUGGAUGGUGCGGCGGCAAGGUUUUAGGUGUGGGAUGGGGUCGAGGCCUACCAGCGUGUUGGUGGGGUAAUGGCCUGACAGGGUGUUGACCGGCAGCAGGCCUGAGAGGGUGGACGGCCACAUUGGGAUGGAGCUGCGGCCCAGACUCGAACGGGAGGCAGGAGUGGGGAAGAGAGUACAAUGGGAUGAAGCCUGACGCAGCGAAGCCGCGUGGGGGAUGACGGCAAUCGGUUUGUAAACUAAUUCCGCUAGGGACGAAGCGCAAGUGACGGUACCUGGAGAAGAAGCUCCGGCUAACUACGUG